CCUACGGGCGGCAGCAGUGAGGAAUAUUGGUCAAUGGGCGCAAGCCUGAACCAGCCAAGUCGCGUGAGGGAUGACGGUCCUAUGGAUUGUAAACCUCUUUUGCCGGGGAGCAAGGCACGCCACGUGUGGCGGGAAGGAGAGUACCCGACGAAAAAGCAUCGGCUAACUCCGUGCCAGCAGCCGCGGUAAUACGGAGGAUGCGAGCGUUAUCCGGAUUUAUUGGGUUUAAAGGGUGCGUAGGCGGAAGGUUAAGUCAGCGGUCAAAUGUCGGUGCUCAACACCGGCCUGCCGUUGAAACUGGUCGUCUUGAGUGAGCGAGAAGUAUGCGGAAUGCGUGGUGUAGCGGUGAAAUGCAUAGAUAUCACGCAGAACUCCGAUUGCGAAGGCAGCAUACCGGCGCUCAACUGACGCUGAGGCACGAAAGCGUGGGGAUCGAACAGGAUUAGAUACCCCAGUAGUC
rnacentral:rRNA from 1 species